ACCCUUUUUCCGAUUUAUUAUAUUUAUAGUCGUGUAGGGCAGAAUAAUCGAACAAUUUGCUUUCGUUUACGUUAAUUGUUAUAAUUUAAUUCUCGGUGUCUGCUGGCCAUAUUCCAUUGUUUAUAAGUUUUACUAAGGAUUGUGCAAGUAGAGGAGUCGGUGUCUGCAGCUGUCAUCAGGAUCAUCCACCAGGGUCAUCCACCAAGGUCAUCCACACGGGUCAUCCACACGGGUCAUCCAUCAGUGGUCAUCCAACAGGGCUCAGCAUGUUGUCAUAUAUCGAGGUUUAAUUGCUUGUUAU
rnacentral:sRNA from 1 species